rnacentral:rRNA from 1 species
AGAGUUUGAUCAUGGCUCAGAACGAACGCUGGCGGCGUGGAUAAGACAUGCAAGUCGAACGGGUCUAAUCUGGUAGCAAUGCUAGGUUGGGCCAGUGGCGAACGGGUGCGUAACACGUGAGUCAUCUGCCUGGAAGUGGGGGAUAGCUCGCCGAAAGGCGAAUUAAUACCGCAUGUGAUUGCAAAAUUAAAGCCGGGGCAACCUGGCGCUUUCAGAGGAGCUCGCGGCCUAUCAGCUUGUUGGUAAGGUAACGGCUUACCAAGGCUUCGACGGGUAGCUGGUCUGAGAGGACGACCAGCCACACUGGAACUGAGACACGGUCCAGACACCUACGGGUGGCAGCAGUCGAGAAUUUUUCUCAAUGGGGGAAACCCUGAAGGAGCGACGCCGCGUGGAGGAUGAAGGCUUUCGGGUUGUAAACUCCUGUCAUUUGGGAACAAAGCCUUACGUUAACUGCGUGGAGGUUUGAUAGUACCAGAAGAGGAAGAGACGGCUAACUCUGUGCCAGCAGCCGCGGUAAUACAGAGGUCUCGAGCGUUGUUCGGAUUCAUUGGGCGUAAAGGGCGCGUAGGCUGCGGGGCAAGUCGGGUGUGAAAUCUCAGAGCUCAACUCUGAAACUGCACUCGAUACUGCUUUGCUUGAGGACUGGAGAGGAGAUUGGAAUUCACGGUGUAGCAGUGAAAUGCGUAGAUAUCGUGAGGAAGACCAGUGGCGAAGGCGGAUCUCUGGACAGUUCCUGACGCUGAGGCGCGAAGGCCAGGGGAGCAAACGGGAUUAGAUACCCCGGUAGUCCUGGCAGUAAACGGUGCACGUUUGGUGUGCGCGGAUUCGACCCCGUGCGUGCCGGAGCUAACGCGUUAAACGUGCCGCCUGAGGAGUACGGUCGCAAGAUUAAAACUCAAGAAAUUGACGGGGGCCCGCACAAGCGGUGGAGUAUGUGCUUUAUUUCGAUGCAACGCGAAGAACCUUACCUGGGCUUGACAUGCAUUGUGUCGCCGGGUGAAAGCCGGCUAGU